GAGAAUCUACUCGCGCAUUUACGGUGUCAGCUCUGUCCAUGAGCGUGGAGCAUGCCGGUGGAUCCCAAUGCCAUUGCCGGCGUUCUUGAUUCAAUGGAACCUCUUCCGCUAGUUGAUCAAUUAUUCAAUGGAACCUUACAUUCAACCGAGGCCAAGGCUGAGAUCUAGAUCCAGCACUGACCAAACUGUGAUGCCUAGAUUUGUUUAGCAUGCACAAGGAACAAUUACUGGAGGUAAAAUCCAACUCGAUCGGCCACCUGCAACGAGGGAGAGCAGCACCGUCAAGACAGCCAUCUCGAAAAAUCGAGCACAACUAUCGGGAUUCGAAUGGGGAUGGCGAUAGUGGGGAACCUUAUGCAUCUGGAGAGGAAUCCCCCCCAAGGAUUCGACAGCUCGGGUGAGUGUGGGGAAGCUUCGACGCCUAGAGUGGAUGCCACCGUUCGCGUCCUCGAUCCCCGCUGCAAGAGAUCGCACGGGCUGGCUCCGCUUGUCCGUCGUGCCCCC
rnacentral:lncRNA from 1 species